GAUGAACGCUGGCGGUAUGCUUAACACACGCAAGUCGAACGGACUCUUCGGAGUUAGUGGCGGACGGGUGAGUAACGCGUGAGAAUCUGGCUUUGGGUUCGGGACAACCACUGGAAACGGUGGCUAAUACCGGAUGUGCCGAGAGGUAAAAGAGAAAUUGCCUGAAGAUGAGCUCGCGUCUGAUUAGCUAGUUGGUGAGGUAAAGGCUCACAAAGGCAGCGAUCAGUAGCUGGUCUGAGGGGAUGACCAGCCACACUGGGACGGAGACACGGCCAAGACUCCUACGGGAGGCAGGAGUGGGGAAUUUUCCGCAAUGGGCGAAAGCCUGACGGAGCAAUACCGCGUGAGGGAAGAAGGCUCUUGGGUUAUAAACCUCUUUUCUUAGGGAAGAACAAAAUGACGGUACCUAAGGAAUCAGCAUCGGCUAACUCCGUG
rnacentral:rRNA from 1 species